AUCAAAUUAAUGUGUUGAUUAUGUCAUCAGAUACACAUUUCUUAGUAUUUGAUGUGCAGCCACAGAAACAUAUUGCUGAAUAUUUCAUUGUGUCAUGAAGCUUCAUUUUAGAGUGAGGCCUAUUACAUCCCAUAAGUCUCCAGAACACAGUAUGUUUCAUUAUAC